CUGCAACUCGCCUGCACGAAGUCGGAAUUGCUAGUAAUCGUAGGUCAGCAUACUACGGUGAAUACGUUCCCGGGGCCUUGUACACACCGCCCGUCAAACCAUGAGAGUUGGCAACACCCGAAGUCGGUAGUCUAACCGCAAGGAGGACGCCGCCGAAGGUGGGGUUGAUGAUUAGGGUUAAGUCGUAACAAGGUAAC
rnacentral:rRNA from 1 species